rnacentral:tRNA from 1 species
GUUCAGAUAGUUUAAUUGAAGAAUAAAGCGCUGAAGAUGCUUCGGUAAAUUUAUGUUUUCUGGACA